AGCAGCAGCCGCGGUAAUACGUAGGUGGCAAGCGUUGUCCGGAAUUAUUGGGCGUAAAGCGCGCGCAGGUGGUUUAAUAAGUCUGAUGUGAAAGCCCACGGCUCAACCGUGGAGGGUCAUUGGAAACUGUUAAACUUGAGUGCAGGAGAGAAAAGUGGAAUUCCUAGUGUAGCGGUGAAAUGCGUAGAGAUUAGGAGGAACACCAGUGGCGAAGGCGGCUUUUUGGCCUGUAACUGACACUGAGGCGCGAAAGCGUGGGGAGCAAACAGGAUUAGAUACCCGGGUAGUCCCUGUCUCUUAUAC
rnacentral:rRNA from 1 species